rnacentral:pre_miRNA from 2 species
UUAGGAAGCAAAGAGCUCCUUUCUUUCCAAUACGAAGGGCUAAGUAGAGGCAAGAGCUGUCAUCUCAUGCAUCCGGAUAAACUUAAAUGUUUGUCGGCUACACGACAUGAAGUUUGACCAAGUGCAUGAUAUGAGAGCAACUCCACCUUUCUGCUUAGUCCUACCAUUGGAUUGAAGGGAGUUCUAUGUUUCACUUUA